rnacentral:lncRNA from 1 species
AGAUAGUUCAAAAUUUCCAUGCUUCCACAUGAAGGAUGCAAGACAUGAGUUAUUGUUGAAGUGUAAGUUGCAUUUCGACCACAUUCACCUAAACAAGGUUGUAGACUUUCAUUAUCUUCAUGAAGUAAGGUGUGUUGUGUAUAAAACUCGAGGUUGACUUUGACGGUGAUUGUGUAUACAUUUAAGGUUCUUACAACUUAGAUCUCACAAGGAAGGUGGGGUCACCUUUAGAAUUGUUCAGGGUUCAUUUGGAAAUUUAUUGGUUUCUGAAUGUUUUUCUGUACCU